UGAUCUUAACCAACAAUAAUAUACAAGACAGAAUGGAGCCAUUAAUGGCCUCUUCAAGAUUUGUUUUCUUCCUCUCUCCCAUUCUGUUACUAAUAAGUUCUCAAUCCCUUUCUCAGCCUGAGUUUCCAAGCCAUAGCUGUUUCUACGAGAAAGGCAACUAUACCACAGGCAGCACCUACCAAACAAACCUUAACACCCUUCUCUCUUCUCUUUCUUCCCCCUCCAACUGUGGUGCCGUUGCCGUCAUCCCCGCAGCCACUGUCUAGUCCUCUUCCACCAUCGACCAGUACAGGAGGAUCGAAGAGUAAUAGAUCUCGGACUGUCAUCAUUAUUGUUGUGCCAAUUGUUGUUUUUGUGGUAGUUAUAUUCUUCUGCAUUUGUUUAAGAGUAAGGAGGACAAAGACAAAAUCUGAAACUAGGAAGUUACUUCCAGGCGGCAAUGAUACAGAUGAAAUUGGAUCUGCAGAACCCUUGCAAUUUGACUUGGCCACAAUUAGAGUUUCCACAGAUGACUUUUCUGAAGCAAAUAAACUUGGACAAUGUGGAUUUGGAUCUGUUUACAGGGUAUGCAAUUCCCAUCCCCAUCCCCGUUAGCUUUUUCCCCCAUCCCCACCUUCGUUGGGGAAUGGGUUCCCCGACCCGCUCCAAAGGAAUAACCAAUAUAUAACUACUUUGUUGAAAGAAAAAAAGUACUAA